UAUGUGCACUGAUUGUUUCAGGGAAAUCGGAGAGUUACGGAGCAGCAGAGCAGGCAUGGAUUCAGAGCCCUAGUUUAAGUACACAUUAACAGGACAGAUGCUUUGAUGUGAUAGAGCUCCUCUUACUCAGGCUUUGCUCCCAGCAUGAAUAAAUCCUUUUGAACUUUGUUUUGUUUUCAGGGCCUCCACAGGCUGAGCUGCUAAGCAGACUGAUAGAAAGCUGCCUGGAUUCUCACUACAGACUGCUGGUGGUUCAAAUGACAUUGAAGAUUGCAUGGAGUGAGGCAGUGCUGUCUAUUAUCCACAGCUUGCUAGACUCAAAGCCUGUCUUGAAUGAAGAACUUUUCACACAGUUCACAGAACAGCUCGUCAGUCAGGCUCCUCGUUUCACAAAGUCUGUGAAGUUUGCAAAAAUGAUGCUCACAGUACUCACCAAAUACAGCACCGAUGUGACUGCUGCACACAAACACUCCUUGUCCAGCUGCCUGAUGUUAAAUGAGACCUUCCUGAAGAAGUCUCUACAAGCUGCUUUAAAACGAAUCGCAGACACGUGACCUCACCACCUUUUCACCGAAUUUACAU